rnacentral:rRNA from 1 species
UUGAAGAGUUUGAUCAUGGCUCAGAUUGAACGCUGGCGGCAGGCCUAACACAUGCAAGUCGAGCGGAAACGAGUUAACUGAACCUUCGGGGAACGUUAACGGCGUCGAGCGGCGGACGGGUGAGUAAUGCCUAGGAAAUUGCCCUGAUGUGGGGGAUAACCAUUGGAAACGAUGGCUAAUACCGCAUGAUGCCUACGGGCCAAAGAGGGGGACCUUCGGGCCUCUCGCGUCAGGAUAUGCCUAGGUGGGAUUAGCUAGUUGGUGAGGUAAGGGCUCACCAAGGCGACGAUCCCUAGCUGGUCUGAGAGGAUGAUCAGCCACACUGGAACUGAGACACGGUCCAGACUCCUACGGGAGGCAGCAGUGGGGAAUAUUGCACAAUGGGCGCAAGCCUGAUGCAGCCAUGCCGCGUGUGUGAAGAAGGCCUUCGGGUUGUAAAGCACUUUCAGUCGUGAGGAAGGUUUAUGCGUUAAUAGCGUAUAGAUUUGACGUUAGCGACAGAAGAAGCACCGGCUAACUCCGUGCCAGCAGCCGCGGUAAUACGGAGGGUGCGAGCGUUAAUCGGAAUUACUGGGCGUAAAGCGCAUGCAGGUGGUUUGUUAAGUCAGAUGUGAAAGCCCGGGGCUCAACCUCGGAAUAGC